GGGAGUUUCUGGGGUUUUUUUUUUUUUUUUUUUUUUUGUAAAAAUUCAGGUUUUAAAAAAAAAUUAAAAAAUAUUAUUUUUGCCACGUGGCAGACAUUUGGCAGCCACGUCAGCAUUAUUUAACAGAAUGGCAUAAAUCCUAAUAGACUUAGACCACAGGGGUUUAAAUCCGAAUUUUUUUACCACAGGGGCUAUCAUCCGAAUACCUUAUCACCACGGGGACCAUUUAUCCGAUUAGGCCUAAAAUAAAACACCACACAUUCUUAGACCAUUUGGCUCAUCUCUCUAAAACUUUAAGACUUCUAAUCUAGAAAAAUUUGAUAUUUUCCUUGUAAGGUUUAAAACACCAAAGAAACAACUAACUUAGGAAUACCAGAAAUGGGUCUCUGUCUAGAAAUACCAGAAAGAUCAUCAAUAAGGGUAAAGUAGAUAGUAAGAGGAAAGGAAGUAGGAUUUUCUCUCCUCCUAAUCUCUCUCCCAUUCCAUCCCCUCCUAUUUAAACGAUUGCGACGUUGCGUCUACAUCUUGUUUUGAUUUUUUUAUAUAGAAAAUAAGACAAAAAGAAGAGUGUGAGAGGAGGGGAUAGAAGGGGAUGGAAAUAGUAGGGGAGAGAAUCCUACUCCAGGACGAAAGAGCUAAAACCAGCUGCAUCCCAUGCCAAAAGUAUAAACCUUAUUUAUUAGGAUAAACAACCAUUUUCCACUUCCUCGUAUGUAAGGUUCGAUGAAAAAACACAAUGGAAGAAGAAAUCGAUCGACAUCAAUGGUAAGUACGAAGAUGAGUAAUGUAUACAAGUUUUUUCUGUGUUUUUACGAGUUACUCUGCUAUUACGUUGCAUUGAAGCUCCAGUGGAGAAGGCUCAGUAAUAUAAUUGACACAUGUAAUUGUGUUUAAGUGAAGUGUACACAUGCAUGGACAGCAAUCCACUUUCUCAAACUUCAAGUUAAUUUUGUGCAUUUGAAAAUAAGGAACUUUAACGAAAAGCACCGGUACUGUUCACUUUAACGAUAAAUCACAUUUUUACACUAAAAAGUCAAUCCUGGUACUAUUCAUUUUACCCUUUAUUUUGUCCUUAUUAUUAAAAUUCAAAGUUUUCAAGUCCUUUUCAUUAGUUUUCCUUUGAAAAUAAGCUAGGUAUACAACGUAAAAAUAGAACCAUGUUGCAGUCCUAUUUGUUUAGGAAUGUGAUCGUAUAAAUCCUAUCAUAUUUGGGAUAUUCUUGUGGGAUUCUAUCAUAUCUCUUAGAUUAUAUAUUAUCCUAUUAAAGUUGUAAUCAUAUUGAGGUAAGGAAUUUACAUUCCCUGCUACUAUAAAUAAAGGCACAAUGGGGUGGAAUAACACACAUCUCACAAUUACACAUCUCUCUCUUCUCUCUCUAUUGCCGCCGCACCCCCUCUCUCUAUCCUUUAUAAUGAUUCAGUAUAUUAGGCCUACAACAUGUCAUCAACACACUCUUGACUAUGUGCUAAAGAGAGUUUUGAUCUUCAAUCAGGUGAGUCUUAAGUUUUAAUCAUUCUUUUUAUGAUUAAUUUAUUAUUCUAUUGAAUUGAUCUACAUGUUAUUGAUUUAAUUUAAUUUUUCUUUAUUGGACGUGAUACAACUCAUUGGAGAUGCAAUUUCGGCUUUCUGAGAAUGAUCUUCUACAAAUUCAAGGCCUCAAUUGUUUUCUACCAAUCAGGUUCUUUUAAAAUAAAUUAAGAUAUUUGAAACGACCAUGAAGCUUGAAAAC
rnacentral:lncRNA from 1 species